rnacentral:sRNA from 1 species
GUCCGUACCGCGCCGCGCGAGAACCGGCGGCGCAACCGGUCGGACCUCGGGGUGAAGCCACCACGGUGGCCGGGCAAGCCUUCCCGCCCGAACCCGACAGCUAACCUCGCAGGCGUGCCGGAGGGAUCUC